rnacentral:rRNA from 1 species
GCCUACGGGGGGCAGCAGUGAGGAAUAUUGGUCAAUGGGCGGAAGCCUGAACCAGCCAAGUCGCGUGAGGGAAUAAGGCCCUACGGGUCGUAAACCUCUUUUGCCGGGGAGCAAGGGCCGGGACGCGUCCCGGCCCGGAGAGUACCCGGAGAAAAAGCAUCGGCUAACUACGUGCCAGCAGCCGCGGUAAUACGUAUGGAGCAAGCGUUAUCCGGAAUUACUGGGUGUAAAGGGAGCGUAGGCGGCAAGGCAAGACUGAUGUGAAAACCCAGGGCCCAACCCUGGGACUGCAUUGGAAACUGUAU